UGAGCAGUGCUUAGGAGUCUGCCGAUGAGUGAGGUACAACCUCUCGAAAGGGAUGCUAAUACCGCAUACGUCCUACGGGAGAAAGCAGGGGAUCUUCGGACCUUGCGCUAAUAGAUGAGCCUAAGUCGGAUUAGCUAGUUGGUGGGUUAAAGGCCUACCAAGGCGACGAUCUGUAGCGGGUCUGAGAGGAUGAUCCGCCACACUGGGACUGAGACUCGGCCCAGACUCCUACGGGAGGCAGCUGUGGGGAAUAUUGGACAAUGGGGGGAACCCUGAUCCAGCCAUGCCGCGUGUGUAAAGAAGGCCUUAUGGCUGUAAAGCACUUUAAGCCAGGAGGAAGCUACUUUAGUUAAUACCUGAGAUAGUGGACUAACUCGCAGAAUAAGCACGGGCUAACUCUGUGCCAGCAGCCGCGGUAAUACAGAGGGUGCGAGCGUUGAUCGGAAUUUAAAAGGCGUAAAGCCUGGGUAGGCGGCUUGAUCAAGUCGGAAUGUGAAAAUCCCCGAGCUUUACCUCGGGAAUUGCCUUCGGAGACUGGUUAGCUAGAGUUAUGGGAGCGGAUGGUAGAAUUACAGGGGGUAGCGGUGAAAUGCGUAGAGAUCUGGAGGAAUACCCGAUGGCGAUGGCAGCCCUCUGGCCUCACACUGACGCUGAGGUACGAAAGCAUGGUGAGCAAACAGGGUUAGAUACCCCUGGUAGUACAUGCCGUAAACGAUGUCUACUAGCCGUCGGGGCCUUUGAAGCUUUAGUGGCGUAGCUAACGCGAUAAGUAGACCGUCUGGAGAGUACGGUCGCAAGACUAAUACUCAAAUGAAUAGACGAGGGAAUGCGCAAGCGGUGGAGCCUGUGGUUUAAUUAGAUGCAACGAGGAGUCCUCCCCUGGUCUUGACGUGCUAGAAGCCUUCC
rnacentral:rRNA from 1 species